rnacentral:rRNA from 1 species
AGAGUUUGAUCAUGGCUCAGGAUGAACGCUAGCUACAGGCUUAACACAUGCAAGUCGGAGGGGAAACGACAUCGAAAGCUUGCUUUUGAUGGGCGUCGACCGGCGCACGGGUGAGUAACGCGUAUCCCAACCUCGCCCAUCACGUUGGGGAUAACCUUGCGAAAGUAAGACUAAUACCCAAUGACGUCUCUAGAAGACAUCUGAAAGAGAUUAAAGAUUUAUCGGUGAUGGAUGGGGAUGCGUCUGAUUAGCUUGUUGGCGGGGUAACGGCCACCAAGGCGACGAUCAGUAGGGGUUCUGAGAGGAAGGUCCCCCACAUUGGAACUGAGACACGGUCCAAACUCCUACGGGAGGCA